GCAGCCUCGUCAUAAGCCAGUGCUGCGUCCUCGGCCGUCUUGAAAGUGCCAAGCCAGACUCGGGCUGCCUUGUUCGGAUCUCGAAUCUCGGCUGCGAAUUUGCCCCAUGGUCGCCGCCUAACCCCUCUAUACUGUCUUCUCUCCUGUUACAUACCUUGAUCUGGACUGUGCUCAAACUGGUUGGCUUCCAUAGCUUGAGAUUGGGAAUCAGGGGCUAAGGGGCUUUCAUGAAGCGGGCUUCCAAGAACCCGAGCUAGAGCUGAGACCAUGGCCCUAGUGUCGUGUUGGGAGCGUGCUGAGUAGACAGGGAAGAUGUGUUCUUCCUCUUUCUUCUCCGAUUCAUCGUCCUCGUUGACGAAUCGAAUCGGAUCCACCUUAAUUGCGAGCUUCUGCAACUUCUGGGAUCGAUCGAGUUUGGAAGACACCAGAUACGUACUCCUGGACUGUGGAGUUUCUUUGUGAGAUUAACGAUCACUUCAAUGAUAUAUAUCCGGCGGUCAAGAUAGAUAAAGACUGAUAAUGAGUUGAUUGGCGAAGACCAAGAAGAAGAAGAAGAAGAGAAGAAGAAGAGAAGAAGAAGCAGAAAGAGUAAAAUUAAAGCGAUGGAAAUGGGAAAAUUAGGGUUUCGAUCGCGCGCUAUAUACUGGACUUGAACAGUGCACGUGGAAACUUGCUCUGCCUCUACCCUCUUGUGGCUGCCUGCAUAUACAUACAUACACACACACACAUAUAUAUAUAUAUAUACACAUGACUGAUUUUACGAAAGGGCAAUGAGUUUUAAACCCUAUACUCAAAUAGAAUUUUUGUUUUACAAAUAAAUGGGUGAUAAUAACCUAUAUAAUUUUUUCGCUACAUUAUUAUAAUUUGUUGAAGUACAAAAACACAUGAUAGUAGUUUGAUAAUUGCAAAGAUUAUAUUAACAUUGUAAUACCUUGUAUUGGCAUAAGGUUGCCACGUAAUUUCGAGGAAUUUGGGAUACUGAAAAGUGGGUUUGAUAGUAAAAUAAAUCGCUGAAUCAGCUGCAGAGUAUCCCAGGGCUCAGAUGCCUAAAGAAAAUGCCGAGAUAAGAUUUAUGACAUAGAAAGAAAUUUGAUUUGAAACGAUUUUCGGUACAGUUAGGAUUCAGGCUGAGAAACCGAAUAAUGGCAAGAGAUUUCUAGAAAGUCAACGGGACCUCGAGUAGGGCUAUAUUAAAUUUAAGAAACAACCCUUAAGAAGUUUCGAGAAGAAAACAUAAGGAUUUUCAAUCAGCAUAUGAUCCUAUGUAUAAUCGGGCCUACGUGUAAUUUAUUAAUUUUGGUCGAGAGAGGUAUAAACGAUGGUUUUUCUUUGUUUUCGGGGGUGGAAUGGAGAGUUUAGAUCUUAUGGGGCUUAGUGGGAUAGUUGGAUAAUUUAGGCACUUGAGGAUAAGGGCCAAAAUGUAAAAGAAAGUUUCAAGGGGGGCUAAACUGUAAUUUCAAAAAAUAUGCAUAGGCAUGGUCGAUUUGGCCGUGAUUUUUGGCAGGAAAAUCCGAAGAAAUGAUAGCCAAAUUUCGUUAGGGCAUGGCCAAGGAUGGUCCAAAAGGCGUGUGGGAGAAGCUAUGGCCAGAGAUUGGCCAUGUGGGGGUCGGUUUUGGCCUAUAAAUAGUGAGGGUUUUUAGUCGAUUUUAGAGUAACAAAUUGCUCAAGUUUGAGGGCGAAUCAAAGGAAGCCAAUAAGGGGCUUUUGAUUCUUGAGUUAAGAAGAGAGUUUCUGGAAAUUUUCGUGGGUUUUCGAGGUGGUUUGAGGGUGGCCGGAAAGUUGCGCACGGUGGCCGGAUCGGGUUUGAUUUUGCUUGAUUCGGAGGCCCUCUGAUGGUCGUUUCAGGCACCCAAGGGUACCCUCGUGAUUGACUUGGAUAAGGUUACCAGCCGGUGUAGUCGGAGAAGAAUUUCGGUCGUUGGCCGGCGAGGAGCUCGCCUGAGAAGAAGGCGCCUGUGGCCUUCACGUGCGACUGCCACACUCAACCUACUCGCUUGGCGUGUGGGGGCGCGUGCCAAAGAGGUAUUUUUCGAUUUUUUUUUUCAAAAUUCUUGAAAAAUUAUUUUAUGAUUUAUUAUGUAAAAAUAUUUGAGAAAAUAGUUGUGUAAAUAUUUAUUUUUGGAUUAUUAGUGAGAAAAAUAGGAGAAAAAAAUGAAAAAUGUGAGGAAAUUAAGGAGAAAAUUAUAUUUUGAUGAUUAUUGGAUGAUUAUGGUGUCUUGUGGCUUAAGGUGAAGUGACUAGUGCGAAGUUUGAGGUGGGCACGCAAAUCGAGGCAUUUCAUGCUUUUCGAAAAAAUUUGAGUUGCAUCUAAAAGUGAGUUGUUAUAUCGAAAAAACUUAUUUGUGGCAUGUGAAUGGUUUUCUGUGAGUUGUUCAAUCCAAUUCCUAUGUGUAUUCUUGUUACUUUGAUCAUUUUUGAUUUAUCGUGAGUGGUUGGUUUCGUGCGAUGGUUCGUCCAAACGAUUAUUUACACAUGCAUUGAAUUUCGUACGGUAAAUUGCAUAUAUUGAAAUGUUGAUUUUAUGUUAUGCAUGUUAUGAUUUUCGGCAUUGGCAUGUUAUGUGUUGUCUAUGUGGGACGUGGGUUGUUAACUUGUAGUGUGGCCCUUGAGUGACAGCACUCGGGAUGCGUGCCGAGGAUUGUUGUCAUGUGACCUACUUGGGAUGGGGUUGAGACUUUCACCUUAUGAUAUUCAAGUGGUGGGACUGAGAGUGGACACCACCCCGAUUGUUGGCUCAAGUGGCGGGACUAAGAGUGGACACCACGCCAGGUUUCUUUGAGCAAUAACAUUAAUACCGAGGUGCCGUUGAUUCCGGGGAUAGUGCUAAUGUGGUACUCUAGCGGCUAGAGUUACGUUGGGUCUUGGAAUGCUUUUGAGUAGGAGCUAUGUUGCACGGAAACGGAAACGAGAAACAUUUCCUAUUAGAAACUGAAAUGUGGAAACGGACAUUCUUUUAAAAAAAUAGGCAUAAAUAGGGUCCGAAAAGGGAAUAGGAAACGUUUCGGAAACGGCUCCUAUGAGGUGUUUUUGUGCAACAUAGAGUAGGAGCGUAAUGCCUAACAAUGAUAUUGUGGUGAUUCCCAGGUUCAUAUGUCGAGGUUGUCCCUCUUAUCGUGUUUGCCAAUGGGUCGAUGUUGUCGUGUCGCCUUUAGAGAGAUUGUAUUUUUUUCGGUUAGGGCUAAGUGCUAUGUGGGAUUUUCUUAGGUUGGGGAAUGUCAGGAUUUGUUGGUUUUAUAUAUGAUUAUGCAUAUAUUCAUAAAAAUGUUUUUGAACUCUCAUUUAGAUGACUCAGUAUCUAAUUUGGACUAUGUCCCUGGAAUAUUCAAACGUUCCAGGUGAAAAUAGUGGCGCCAAGGGAAAGGAUGUCGUCGAGAUGUAGUUGUUAUUGUUAGUUUUCAUAGGUUUUUGUCUAUGAUUACGAUGUUUCGAGGUUAUGUAAUAUUUUGAUAUUUUCAUGUGAAACAUCGAUUUGGUUAUUUAACUGUAAAAGGAAUUUGUCGGUUAUAUAUCAUUGAGAUUUCGAUCUUGCUUU